rnacentral:rRNA from 1 species
GACGAACGCUGGCGGCGUGCUUAACACAUGCAAGUCGAACGGAAAGGCCCUGCUUUUGUGGGGUGCUCGAGUGGCGAACGGGUGAGUAACACGUGAGUAACCUGCCCUUGACUUUGGGAUAACUUCAGGAAACUGGGGCUCAUACCGGAUAGGAGUUCCUGCUGCAUGGUGGGGGUUGGAAAGUUUCGGCGGUUGGGGAUGGACUCGCGGCUUAUCAGCUUGUUGGUGGGGUAGUGGCUUACCAAGGCUUUGACGGGUAGCCGGCCUGGGGGGGUGACCGGCCACAUUGGGACUGGGAUACGGCCCAGACUCCUACGGGAGGCAGAAGUGGGGAAUAUUGCAAAAUGGGCGGAAGCCGGAUGCAGCAACGCCGGGGGCGGGAUGACGGCCUUCGGGUGGUAAACCGCUUUCGCCUGUGACGAAGCGUGAGUGACGGUAAUGGGUAAAGAAGCACCGGCUAACUACGUG